AUUGAACGCUGGCGGCAGGCCUAACACAUGCAAGUCGAGCGGGGUUUUCGGACCUAGCGGCGGACGGGUGAGUAAUGCGUAGGAAGCUACCCGAUAGAGGGGGAUACCAGUUGGAAACGACUGUUAAUACCGCAUAAUGUCUACGGACCAAAGUGUGGGACCUUCGGGCCACAUGCUAUCGGAUGCGCCUACGUGGGAUUAGCUAGUUGGUGAGGUAAUGGCUCACCAAGGCGACGAUCCCUAGCUGGUUUGAGAGGAUGAUCAGCCACACUCGAGCUGAGACACGGUCCAGACUCCUACGGGAGGCAGCAGUGGGGAAUAUUGGACAAUGGGCGCAAGCCUGAUCCAGCCAUGCCGCGUGUGUGAAGAAGGCCUUCGGGUUGUAAAGCACUUUCAGUAGGGAGGAAGCGUUGUGUGUUAAUAGUACACAGCGUUGACGUUACCUACAGAAGAAGCACCGGCUAACUCUGUGCCAGCAGCCGCGGUAAUAC
rnacentral:rRNA from 1 species